rnacentral:rRNA from 1 species
CAGUCGCCGCGGGAAUACGUAGGGUGCGAGCGUUGUCCGGAAUUACUGGGCGUAAAGAGCUCGUAGGCGGUUUGUCGCGUCGUCUGUGAAAUUCUGCAGCUUAACUGUAGGCGUGCAGGCGAUACGGGCAGACUUGAGUACUACAGGGGAGACUGGAAUUCCUGGUGUAGCGGUGAAAUGCGCAGAUAUCAGGAGGAACACCGGUGGCGAAGGCGGGUCUCUGGGUAGUAACUGACGCUGAGGAGCGAAAGCGUGGGUAGCGAACAGGAUUAGAUACCCCAGUAGUCCCUGUCUCUUAUAC